GUUUGAGGAAGGUGCUUAAUCUCCUUGUGUAACGUACAGUGUGGCUCACCAAAAAUCAACUGCUGCUGUAGAUGUGUGCCUCAGAGAAAUUGUUCUGGUGUCUUCAGAUAUCCCAUAACUACAGGAAUUACCCUUUUGCACAGAGGACAGCAAAAAGAAGACUGUUCCUGAUCCUAGGUCUGCAGCAGACUACUUCACAGCUCCUAGAGAGUCACUGCUCUGAUCUUUCAUUAAGCCUGUUCAUUAACAGGAGACAUUUCCCGGAUGAAGUCUAAGACCCCUUCCAACUCUCAUGACAGUGGCUGUAAAUCUCAGGUGUGUGUGAGAG
rnacentral:lncRNA from 1 species